rnacentral:miRNA from 1 species
GGUUUCUCUGUGUAGCCUUGGCUGUCCUGGAACUCACUUUGUAGACCAGGCUGGCCUUGAACUCAGAGAUUCACCUGCCUCUGCCUCUCAAGUGCUGGGACUAAAGACAUGCAUUUCCACCACCCG